rnacentral:rRNA from 1 species
UAAACGACUCUCGGCAACGGAUAUCUCGGCUCACGCAUCGAUUAARAACGUAGCAAAAUGCGAUACUUGGUGUGAAUUGCAGAAUCCCGUGAACCAUCGAGUUUUUGAACGCAAGUUGCGCCCGAUGCCMCCUGGUUGAGGGCACGUCUGCCUGGGCGUCACGC